CCCCGGCGAGGGGAGUGAAAAAGAACCUGAAACCGUGUACGUACAAGCAGUGGGAGCCUCUUUAUGGGGUGACUGCGUACCUUUUGUAUAAUGGGUCAGCGACUUAUAUUCUGUAGCAAGGUUAACCGAAUAGGGGAGCCGAAGGGAAACCGAGUCUUAACUGGGCGUUAAGUUGCAGGGUAUAGACCCGAAACCCGGUGAUCUAGCCAUGGGCAGGUUGAAGGUUGGGUAACACUAACUGGAGGACCGAACCGACUAAUGUUGAAAAAUUAGCGGAUGACUUGUGGCUGGGGGUGAAAGGCCAAUCAAACCGGGAGAUAGCUGGUUCUCCCCGAAAGCUAUUUAGGUAGCGCCUCGUGAAUUCAUCUCCGGGGGUAGAGCACUGUUUCGGCAAGGGGGUCAUCCCGACUUACCAACCCGAUGCAAACUGCGAAUACCGGAGAAUGUUAUCACGGGAGACACACGGCGGGUGCUAACGUCCGUCGUGAAGAGGGAAACAACCCAGACCGCCAGCUAAGGUCCCAAAGUCAUGGUUAAGUGGGAAACGAUGUGGGAAGGCCCAGACAGCCAGGAUGUUGGCUUAGAAGCAGCCAUCAUUUAAAGAAAGCGUAAUAGCUCACUGGUCGAGUCGGCCUGCGCGGAAGAUGUAACGGGGCUAAACCAUGCACCGAAGCUGCGGCAGCGACACUAUGUGUUGUUGGGUAGGGGAGCGUUCUGUAAGCCUGUGAAGGUGGCCUGUGAGGGUUGCUGGAGGUAUCAGAAGUGCGAAUGCUGACAUAAGUAACGAUAAAGCGGGUGAAAAGCCCGCUCGCCGGAAGACCAAGGGUUCCUGUCCAACGUUAAUCGGGGCAGGGUGAGUCGACCCCUAAGGCGAGGCCGAAAGGCGUAGUCGAUGGGAAACAGGUUAAUAUUCCUGUACUUGGUGUUACUGCGAAGGGGGGACGGAGAAGGCUAUGUUGGCCGGGCGACGGUUGUCCCGGUUUAAGCGUGUAGGCUGGUUUUCCAGGCAAAUCCGGAAAACCAAGGCUGAGGCGUGAUGACGAGGCACUACGGUGCUGAAGCGACAAAUGCCCUGCUUCCAGGAAAAGCCUCUAAGCAUCAGGUAACAUCAAAUCGUACCCCAAACCGACACAGGUGGUCAGGUAGAGAAUACCAAGGCGCUUGAGAGAACUCGGGUGAAGGAACUAGGCAAAAUGGUGCCGUAACUUCGGGAGAAGGCACGCUGAUAUGUAGGUGAAGCGACUUGCUCGUGGAGCUGAAAUCAGUCGAAGAUACCAGCUGGCUGCAACUGUUUAUUAAAAACACAGCACUGUGCAAACACGAAAGUGGACGUAUACGGUGUGACGCCUGCCCGGUGCCGGAAGGUUAAUUGAUGGGGUUAGCGGUAACGCGAAGCUCUUGAUCGAAGCCCCGGUAAACGGCGGCCGUAACUAUAACGGUCCUAAGGUAGCGAAAUUCCUUGUCGGGUAAGUUCCGACCUGCACGAAUGGCGUAAUGAUGGCCAGGCUGUCUCCACCCGAGACUCAGUGAAAUUGAACUCGCUGUGAAGAUGCAGUGUACCCGCGGCAAGACGGAAAGACCCCGUGAACCUUUACUAUAGCUUGACACUGAACAUUGAGCCUUGAUGUGUAGGAUAGGUGGGAGGCUUUGAAGUGUGGACGCCAGUCUGCAUGGAGCCGACCUUGAAAUACCACCCUUUAAUGUUUGAUGUUCUAACGUUGGCCCGUAAUCCGGGUUGCGGACAGUGUCUGGUGGGUAGUUUGACUGGGGCGGUCUCCUCCUAAAGAGUAACGGAGGAGCACGAAGGUUGGCUAAUCCUGGUCGGACAUCAGGAGGUUAGUGCAAUGGCAUAAGCCAGCUUGACUGCGAGCGUGACGGCGCGAGCAGGUGCGAAAGCAGGUCAUAGUGAUCCGGUGGUUCUGAAUGGAAGGGCCAUCGCUCAACGGAUAAAAGGUACUCCGGGGAUAACAGGCUGAUACCGCCCAAGAGUUCAUAUCGACGGCGGUGUUUGGCACCUCGAUGUCGGCUCAUCACAUCCUGGGGCUGAAGUAGGUCCCAAGGGUAUGGCUGUUCGCCAUUUAAAGUGGUACGCGAGCUGGGUUUAGAACGUCGUGAGACAGUUCGGUCCCUAUCUGCCGUGGGCGCUGGAGAACUGAGGGGGGCUGCUCCUAGUACGAGAGGACCGGAGUGGACGCAUCACUGGUGUUCGGGUUGUCAUGCCAAUGGCACUGCCCGGUAGCUAAAUGCGGAAGAGAUAAGUGCUGAAAGCAUCUAAGCACGAAACUUGCCCCGAGAUGAGUUCUCCCUGACUCCUUGA
rnacentral:rRNA from 1 species